GAUUUUCGGUGCACUGUGGGAAAACUUUAUCCAUCCUGCCUUGAAGAAUCAUCAUGGAAACCACCAACUUACCUUUUCUCACCAGAUGGGACAGAGGAGUUUGAGUUGGAUGGAGAGAUGGUUGCACUCCCUCCUGUAUAGUUGAGUUGAGGGAGUAAUGCCUGGUUCCCUUCCUUCAUUAAGCAACAUGCUAGGAGAGGACCAGACAGGGAGUACAUGAAAGUCUAUCUUUGAUAAAUUUUAUUUUUAUGCCCUACUUAUUUGCUUCAGUAUAGUAUAUAUCAGUGAGUCUUACAGAAAGAUGUGCUUCCAUCAUAGGAGCUAGGUGAGUCAGUCCUUGAGAGCCUCUAAUGUGUACUCUGACAGCAGAGGAAUGAACAGCUAAUGAAUGCUCUUAACCCUGUGCAUGUACAGUUCAAAGUUCACUUAGAGAAGUAGCUUCCUUUCUAGGGUGGGACAUCACAGACUGUGCUGAGAUUAUUUAGUAUAUCUCAUUCCUGUGCUUUGUCCUGAAGUUCUGGAAUACAUUUUUCCAGUAACUAACCAGCUGUGCUUAAUGCUGAUGUCCCCAUUUGUGUAGCAGUGUGGUCCAUGUCCUCCGCUGUAGUUGAGAACACUCCAUAAUUUUGUGGUAUUACACAGGAAAGGUACGACUGCAGAACGAGUCUAUCCAAUUAGGUGCAUAUAUCCUCUCUCCAUUAACUGUCUGUCUAGAAUACAGGUCGUCCAGCCAACUGGCCAUAUAGCAGGCACAUGAACUUAGUUUCUGGGCUUGCAGUGAGAAUUGUGCGGGUCUGUGGCGCUUUCAUGAAAGGUGAAGAGUUGUAACAGAUAGUGU